rnacentral:rRNA from 1 species
CAGCAGCCGCGGGAAUACAGAGGGUGCGAGCGUUAAUCGGAUUUACUGGGCGUAAAGCGUGCGUAGGCGGCUUUUUAAGUCGGAUGUGAAAUCCCUGAGCUUAACUUAGGAAUUGCAUUCGAUACUGGGAAGCUAGAGUAUGGGAGAGGAUGGUAGAAUUCCAGGUGUAGCGGUGAAAUGCGUAGAGAUCUGGAGGAAUACCGAUGGCGAAGGCAGCCAUCUGGCCUAAUACUGACGCUGAGGUACGAAAGCGUGGGGAGCAAACAGGAUUAGAUACCCCCGUAGUCCCUGUCUCUUAUAC